rnacentral:rRNA from 1 species
UACAAGAACGCCCGGGCUUCGGCCUGGUUAUUCAUAACCCUUUGUUGUCCGACUCUGUUGCCUCCGGGGCGACCCUGCCUUCGGGCGGGGGCUCCGGGUGGACACUUCAAACUCUUGCGUAACUUUGCAGUCUGAGUAAACUUAAUUAAUAAAUUAAAACUUUUAACAACGGAUCUCUUGGUUCUGGCAUCGAUGAAGAACGCAGCGAAAUGCGAUAAGUAAUGUGAAUUGCAGAAUUCAGUGAAUCAUCGAAUCUUUGAACGCACAUUGCGCCCCCUGGUAUUCCGGGGGGCAUGCCUGUUCGAGCGUCAUUUCACCACUCAAGCCUCGCUUGGUAUUGGGCAACGCGGUCCGCCGCGUGCCUCAAAUCGUCCGGCUGGGUCUUCUGUCCCCUAAGCGUUGUGGAAACUAUUCGCUAAAGGGUGUUCGGGAGGCUACGCCGUAAAACAACCCCAUUUCUAAGGUUGACCUCGGAUCAGGUAGGGAUACCCGCUGAACUUAAGCAUAUCAAUAAGCGGAGGAAAAGAAACCAACAGGGAUUGCUCUAGUAACGGCGAGUGAAGCAGCAAUAGCUCAAAUUUGAAAUCUGGCGUCUUCGACGUCCGAGUUGUAAUUUGUAGAGGAUGCUUCUGAGUGGCCACCGACCUAAGUUCCUUGGAACAGGACGUCAUAGAGGGUGAGAAUCCCGUAUGCGGUCGGAAAGGCGCUCUAUACGUAGCUCCUUCGACGAGUCGAGUUGUUUGGGAAUGCAGCUCUAAAUGGGAGGUAAAUUUCU